rnacentral:rRNA from 1 species
UGAUGCAGCCAUGCCGCGUGUGUGAAGAAGGCCUUCGGGUUGUAAAGCACUUUCAGUUGUGAGGAAAAGUUAGUAGUUAAUACCUGCUAGCCGUGACGUUAACAACAGAAGAAGCACCGGCUAACUCCGUGCCAGCAGCCGCGGUAAUACGGAGGGUGCGAGCGUUAAUCGGAAUUACUGGGCGUAAAGCGCACGCAGGCGGUUUGUUAAGCUAGAUGUGAAAGCCCCGGGCUCAACCUGGGAUGGUCAUUUAGAACUGGCAGACUAGAGUCUUGGAGAGGGGAGUGGAAUUCCAGGUGUAGCGGUGAAAUGCGUAGAUAUCUGGAGGAACAUCAGUGGCGAAGGCGACUCCCUGGCCAAAGACUGACGCUCAUGUGCGAAAGUGUGGGUAGCGAACAGGAUUAGAUACCCUGGUAGUCCACACCGUAAACGCUGUCUACUAGCUGUUUGUGACUUUAAGUCGUGAGUAGCGAAGCUAACGCGCUAAGUAGACCGCCUGGG